rnacentral:lncRNA from 1 species
UUGCGCUUUAUGGCCUUGAUACUGAAUGGACUGUUCUUGUUCUGCAAAUGAAAUAUUCAAAAAAUUACCAUUAAUAUGUUGUUUCCCUAAGAAGUGGGAGAAGCAAAACUUACCAUUAAACAAGUUCCCUGAUCAAGGUCACAAACGGGGUACUCGUGAGGGCAGCAACUAUAGUUGUCAUCACAACAUGUGGCUGCUUCUAGUGGGCAACAUCCCCAAGCAAGUGGUAUAAGCAUUGGUCUGAGAGUGGUAAACAUUAAUUACAAUGAGUGCUAUCAUCAAUUCAUCAUAGUGGAAACUGCUGGAGGAUUAUUUCGAUCGCCAUCCAUUUCUCAACAAAUUUAUAGGAUCAGGAGUGUAAAUAUUGAGAAGAAAAUUUGAGGAUAUAUAGCAAGUUAAAACAAAUGGGAUUUAUAAGAUGCGCUCCAUCCUUAUGUAUCCGCUCUCUCCCCAACUUGUUCCCCAUGAGUUUUUCACAAUCCAAUAGUCUUUGCCAUUCUCUGUUCCGUAUCCGACCGCCACAACUCCAUGGUCUAGAUCUGUUCCACAAAUUCCAUCGAAUAUACCCUUUGGAAAGAAAAACGCAUACAAACAGUUUAGUCAAAUCAUCAAACUCCUAAGAACUAAGAGAAAAUGAUUAAAAUACAUACCGAAUCAUAGAGCUGGAACGCACGACCACCACCCUCAAUGGCGACGCUGAUUGGUUGGUGAGAAAGUGCUUUCUUUAAUGAUUCUUCGCUGUUAGCCGGCACAUCCUCAUAUGAAUCGAUUGUAACAACUUUAGCGUUUUUCUGCAGCAAUAAACCAACAAAGGUGAAACAAAAAUCAUCCACAGGUUGUUUAGAAUUAUUAUUAAAUCACAACAUGUGGCUGCUUCUAGUGGGCAACAUCCCCAAGCAAGACAAUACUUUCCAUAAUCAAAACCAACAAAGGUGAAACAAAAAUCAUCCACAGGUUGUUUAGAAUUAUUAUUAAAGAACAAAACACUAACUCUGGUCUGGUCACAACGUCCGUCAACACCCUUGUAAGGAUAAUCUUCCUCUGUAUCGAUUCCGCCGUUUUUUAUAAUGAACUCAAAAGCAUAGUCCAUGAGACCUCCGUUAC